GAGAAAUGUCCUGGAGCAUAAUGAC
rnacentral:piRNA from 1 species